GCGCAGCCUGAUGCGCCAUGCCGCGUGUAUGAAGAAGGCCUUCGGGUUGUAAAGUACUUUCAGUCGUGAGGAAGGUUCAUGCGUUAAUAGCGUAUGGAUUUGACGUUAGCGACAGAAGAAGCACCGGCUAACUCCGUGCCAGCAGCCGCGGUAAUACGGAGGGUGCGAGCGUUAAUCGGAAUUACUGGGCGUAAAGCGCAUGCAGGUGGUUAGUUAAGUCAGAUGUGAAAGCCCGGGGCUCAACCUCGGAAUUGCAUUUGAAACUGGCUGACUAGAGUACUGUAGAGGGGGGUAGAAUUUCAGGUGUAGCGGUGAAAUGCGUAGAGAUCUGAAGGAAUACCGGUGGCGAAGGCGGCCCCCUGGACAGAUACUGACACUCAGAUGCGAAAGCGUGGGGAGCAAACAGGAUUAGAUACCCUGGUAGUCCACGCCGUAAACGAUGUCUACUUGGAGGUUGUGGCCUUGAGCCGUGGCUUUCGGAGCUAACGCGUUAAGUAGACCGCCUGGGGAGUACGGUCGCAAGAUUAAAACUCAAAUGAAUUGACGGGGGCCCGCACAAGCGGUGGAGCAUGUGGUUUAAUUCGAUGCAACGCGAAGAACCUUACCUACUCUUGACAUCCAUAGAACUUAGCAGAGAUGCUUUGGUGCCUUCGGGAACUAUGAGACAGGUGCUGCAUGGCUGUCGUCAGCUCGUGUUGUGAAAUGUUGGGUUAAGUCCCGCAACGAGCGCAACCCUUAUCCUUGUUUGCCAGCGAGUAAUGUCGGGAACUCCAGGGAGACUGCCGGUGAUAAACCGGAGGAAGGUGGGGACGACGUCAAGUCAUCAUGGCCCUUACGAGUAGGGCUACACACGUGCUACAAUGGCGUAUACAGAGGGCUGCCAACUUGCGAAAGUGAGCGAAUCCCAAAAAGUACGUCGUAGUCCGGAUUGGAGUCUGCAACUCGACUCCAUGAAGUCGGAAUCGCUAGUAAUCGUGGAUCAGAAUGCCACGGUGAAUACGUUCCCGGGCCUUGUACACACCGCCCGUCACACCAUGGGAGUGGGCUGCAAAAGAAGUGGGUAGUUUAACCUUUCGGGGAGGACGCUCACCACUUGUGGUUCAUGAUGGGUG
rnacentral:rRNA from 1 species